CCCUCGUUUCAGUAGAUGACCAGUCUUCCGGGAGCAUAAACUUAACGGCACCGACUUGGAGGCAAGAGACUCUGGAUAAAGAAAGGAAGACGACUUUAAAGGAAUAUCUUGCAGAUAACGUUGCUUGUUCAAAUCAAGGCGUUGUUGUGGAGCAAACAAAGUAGCGUUAAGAAGCACUGCUACACUGCUAAUUCAAAAUCGACAGUUCUGAAAAUGAGGUGACAUAGCAAGAGUUACGGCUGCAAGCAACAGCUCUUUUUUUUCCCGCAUUGAUCGCGUAAAGUAACCUGUAAUAUAACAGCCGGAUAAUGAACUGGAAUGUGGAGGAGGGUGGGCCAUUAAAUUACCACACGUACUUCAUUGGUGAUAUACGUCCGUGAAAGAACCACAAGAUUCCAAAAAUUUAGAAUGGAAUAAAUAAAUAAGAGGAAAGAAAACGAAAGUAACCACAGGAAGCGCGAAGGAACGUCAGAAACGCGACUACAAAAAUCAAGGUAAUCCUGGCUUCCUCUCACCGUUAACAAACAAACAAUAAAAACACAUCCGAGUACAUGAAUUGAAAGUCACCGCACGCAUGCAUACAAACCCCGAAAAAGAAAGCUGAAGGCAUUGUCACAUAUUUCAAUGGGACUGAGAACUCCCGUUAUAAGUGUACGUCAACAUAAAGGCGUGUAGAACACUAUAGCCAUCACAGCAUAUUUUGCGUCAAUACGUUUUGCGUCAAAGAAGAGUAGAAUGAAGCAGUGCAUGGAACAUUCUCGUCAUUGUACUCUCGUCAAGCAGUACGACUUAAUCUUCAAGGGGGGGGGGGGGGGGGGGGCGAAUAUUGGUAGGACUGCGUGAAACGUAUAUUAUGCAAGCGUGUACGUCCUAAUAAGGACUGGUAACAAGUUCACCCGUGCACUUGUACUGUUUUCAGAAUAUGAUAGUUAUAUAGUGGAAGUCGGGGGAUAUCGGAAGUCGGGCGAAUUCAGGUAAUAUCGGGUGAAUUAACGGAAGUCUAUUAAUAGGGCUACAUUGAUUGUUUACCAGAGACAUUAAAAAUAGAAGGACUAUAAGCUGCAAGUUGCAUAAGUCAUUUCUAUGUGACUUGCCAUUAAGAUGAAAGAAUGUCAUACUUUUUUUAGAGUAUUGGACUACACGUUGCAUAGGCCAUCGUGCCCAACAUAGUUUUCAAGCGGUUCACCAAACACUGAAAGCUACUCAUCGAAUGAGUGAUGGCAUUGAAUAAUAAAUGUGAGCAAAUAAUUCGUAUCGAAAAAAAGUAAAAUUACGUUAACAAGAGAACCUGCAUCGAAGACACCAUGUUUUAUGUUCAAAGUCAUUGCUUGACAGCAUUAAUAACUGUUUCGAACAAUACGUUGUAAAUUAAAUAAUACGAAUCUAAGAAAUAAAUGUAUUACAAAAAAUGGUGGUGAUUGAUAAAAGUAUUGAUAUCAUUUAUUGUCUAAUAAAGACCCCUUUCAGGGUAUUACUUAAGGGGGUCGGGGCAUAAGACAUCAAUGAACACUACAGUCAUUAUUAUACAAUGGUUCAGUGGUAUACAAUGGUAUAAAUGACUAGUUACCCGAACAAUCGCAAACAAAUAAAGCUGGUAGCACGAUCGGCAGCAAAAGAGGGAGCCCAACCGGCAGUAUAACAGAACAGUACAAAAGGGAGAUGUUAGGGUAACAGCGCAGUGGUGGUAAGUUAAGGGUUUAAGAAACAUGACAAUAGGUGCCUAAAUUUAUCUGAAUCACGUUCAUUUACUAUAUCAUCGGGUAGCGCGUUCUCUAGUUCAAUAGCGGUAGGUAAGAAAGAUUUGUUGAAUGCAUUAGAGGUCCCGUGCAAGCGUUGUAGACUCAGGUUGUUGAACAGACGAUGAGAACUACACGUUAUCUAGACUUUGGCAUGAAGCAUCGUUCUCGGUGUGUUUGUCAGACAAUAAAAGCUGCUCAUCAAAUGAUGUGGUCGCGUUGCAUAAAAGAGCGGAAUAACCAUGAAAAUAAAAGAAUAGAAGUAGCUUCACGAGAGUGACUGCUUCGAGGAAGCAACUAGUGUUUUAAGGCUGCAAUGAUUUUAGAACCGUAAAAAAACGUUUGAAAAAGUAUGACCUAAUUAUCGGAAACAUGGAUAGAAAGUGGUGGUAAUCAAACGUCACUAUUUCAACACUGCACAUUAUCUAGAUCGUUGUGUGGAGCAUUGUUGUCAACAUCUUCUCAAGCAGCACAACUCAUAUUUAAAAUGGACCAAUGGUACUGAAUAAAACUUGCAAGACAAAGCAUUAAUGCUUUGUUCUUGCAUGUUUUAUAGCACAUAGAGGCACGUUAAUAAACACAUAAAGGUGCGUUAAUAAAAAAUAUCGCUGCAAGGAAGUACAAGUAGAAAAUUUAAUUGCUUGGCAAUUUGGGACGAGAACAUAGGAUUUAGAAAAUUAUUGCAAUGCAACCUCAAGUUUCUUGGAGGAAACAUUGAGUGCUACAAUAUUUAAAACGCUGUGUCUAAUAGGCGAGGAAGUAAGAAAAACUACUGAACUUUUGCACUGGCAUCGACAAAGAUAUCGCCUAGUACAAGUUAUCGUGGAGUACAAAAGCAAUAGAGGGAACCUAUGAAGAAAUGUGUAAGCCAGUACCUACUUAAAAUCAAAUUGAUUGUUAAAAGGUAGCACUAAUGGCAAAAUGAAAUGAAAAGUUGAGGUAGGUCGGCCAGAUAUCAUCAUAAUAUAAAGGUGAUUUAAAAUAUAACGAGCACCGUGACAUAUCCUUGUGAAAGAUCUGUUGAGAUAUACGUGAAAUAUUGUCUUACGAGUGCUCGGCUAUCCACGUACACGUACAGUCAACCGAAAAAGUUUACGGACCACGGGAUCUCAGAAAACGUCCAAUUCCCGAGCAGCCUGUAGUAGUAGCCAGUAAAAUUGUAUCGGACAAUGUUGUUAGCAUAUUCCAGUCGAGACCCGAAAUGCAACUACCAGGCUGCGUUGUGGGGCUGCGGACAUAUUCACCUUUUUCCCAGAUUUCAUGGUCCGCAAUAUUUUGCGGAAUACUGUACACGUCGCAGUUGAUACACCAUAAAUUAAAAAACUGUAAAAUGAACGCUCGCAGAAGAAAAAAAGAAAAUUAAACAGCAAAAUAAAUCUUGAAACGAAGUCAUAUUUCACUUUACGUUGAUACCUGUAGUGAAGCACUAACGACAAAUGUAAAAACGAAGGCAGAGUUAAUAAAAAGCUUCAGAGGAGGUUUGACCCCAAUGUGACUUCGAUAUGCCUAAUGAAAGGUCGAUGCAGCAUUGCAAUAAGAUAUCAUCCCCAAUGCAUAAGUCAAGGAGUAACUGCGAUUUGUCGAGUGAGAUAUUGGGAUUGAAGAAUACGCAGAGAAAGAAAAUUGCAAGAAGAGCAAGAAGAAUUGCAAGAGCAAGUACAACUUUAGGAUAAGAAUGACAUUCUUCUAAUGACGAUAUUUUUUUAGUUAGAAAAGGAACUACAAUCUCGAUUUUACACAUUACCGCCACCGCAUAUAACGGUCAUGGACUGGAGAAAUGUUUGGUAUGCACUUCAACUGGAUAUUCAUGUCGAACAUCACUCUCAAAAUGUUUGGUCAGAGUAAGAGCUUUUCCUGAAGUAAACUGUUGUGGUUAAAAAUAGAUGAUUAAACAUAUCAUGAAGACAGACGAAAAAGGGAAGAAAGCAAGAGAAGUUGCUUCGAUGAAGCACUGCUUUGAGUUCUUCUUUGAAUCUCGGACAUCACCGAAAUUUACGCAAACAAAAAAAGAAUGAAUAAAUCUUAUCUGAGAAACCACCGUAAAGAACUAAGCAGUCAGCGAUCCAUGGAAUCAAUCAGUCUCGUGGAGGAACAGUUACCUGCAGCGACAUUCAAAACAGCUUCAUUUGUGGGGCAAAGAACUCAGGCCCACUGGCCAACUUCUGUAAUGUUACCGGAAAAUACGUAUAUUUAAUACAUUUAGGAGUGCAAAAGAAAUAAAUUGUACUCAAUAAUCAAUUCAAGUACCAAUUGAUUAUCUAAAGGCAACAAUAAUUGCAUGAAGAAAAUUAAUUUUUAUUUUUUUAAUUAUGGGGUUUCACGUGCCAGAACCACGAUCUGAUUAUGAGGCACGCCGUAGUGGGGGACUCCGGAAAUUUGGACCACCUGGGGUUCUUUAACGUGCACCUAAGUCUAAGUACACGGGUGUUUUCGCAUUUCGCCCCCAUCGAAAUGCGGCCGCCAUGGCCGGGAUUCGAUCCCGCGACCUCGUGCUCAGCAGCCCAACACCAUAGCCACUGAGCAACCACGGCGGGUUGAUGAAAAUGAAGUGGAAAGUGGAGGAGGGUGGGAUCAAAUCUUCGCUCCUAAAAGGAAAGUUUACGAUACGAAAUCAGCGACACUUAUUACCGAAGGUAAUUAUGGACAUCGUCUCGAGAGUAUUUGGCCAAUCGGUUACUAGUGGCCGUCCUGUGAGAUCAUACAAUAAAUAGAGCCUAUAAGAUCCGCUCAUGUAGUGAAAAGAAACAAAAAUUCACCGUCCGUGCACCCCGUACAGAUGGUAGCCCAGCGAAGCUGAAAUGUGCGGCCUCGGUAUGAGCCACACGUAAGUUCUUUCUUUCUCUCUUUAUUUCUUGUCCCUGGCUCAUACCCGCAUAUCCAUUGCGGGUAUUCUACACGUGAUUUUAUUAUCGUUAAUCGUGACGUAACUGACGAGCAUUUGAUGUUAUUGAUGUCAUGACCUACCAUUCAUGUUAGUAAUCCAUUCGUACCCUUCCGUGCCAGUUUUGGAAUAUACCAAGUGAACGAGGCGCGAUUUUUCGAUAGGUUUUCAAUAGGUUCAUUUCCGCCGGAAGGUUUCUGUGGUCGGACCACGAGUUUUUCAGCCUAGGAAUAUUCAGCUUCGCUGUAAAAAAGAAGAAACAUUGUACUUCUCCCAUGGAAGGGUAGAAUGGUUAGUGCUCAUAAUAUCGGCACUCAAUAAGAGGCGAAAAGAGCGUCGCAAUAUAAAGGAGACGAACUGUUUGAAGGCUACGUUGGCUGACGAGAGUGCCAAUAAUCACCGCAGGAAAAUGGACUUGAAAGCUCAUGAGCCAUGCCUAAGUAGCCAUUUCAUUACCAAGUAAACAGUCAGCAAUCGAGCGUCAGCUCUCUCCGAAGGAGCGUUAACCGAGGCAACAUUCGAAACAGUUCAAUGUAUGUGAGCGAAGCAUUAAGACCUAUAUACAGAUGAACUUGUGUAAUGGAGCUCGAAAAAUCAGAUAUUGAAGACAGGCGAAAAGAUUUAUACUCACUCAAGACGAUUGCUGGGAGCAACCACUGCUUACGGAACCAAUUAGUUGCCUUAUGUAACAAUAACGACUGGAAGAAACUAAACUGGAACGUGAAGGAAGUUGGGCUGAAAAUAAAAACUGAAGUUAUGAUCAACCUGCGUGCGAAGUUGAUUUCAUGGGUGAAUACAAAUGCCCGGCUUCGCUUCAUGUCGCACUAUCCUUCACCGCUGGGACUAACCAGGCCGACGUCUUUGGUGUCUGCACAGGCACGACACUGUGAAGAAACUCAAGCGCAAGCCAACCACCACGGCCCACCGAAUUCGCUUAAUGUUGCGUUCACCAAGUGCUCGCACCGUGAUCGCCGCAGUGACAUUGGAUCGAACUGUGAACACCUUCAUAUUCCUGAGACGCUUGUAACAAUUGUUGCACCCGCAAACUAUAGCAAGAACGACAGAUAUUAGCAUCUACGACUGAACAGGUCGAAAGCCAUAUGCUCUUGGAAGACUUCAUUUGGUUUGUUUAGGCUCCCGCGAACUGUGCGGCAGCGAUUACGAUGACAGUUGUAGAUAUUUACAAGAAACUGGAGAUAACUCGCAGCUUCGUAAAUACCGCACUGUGGUGGACUUGUAGCCUAUACGCGCCGCUCUUUCAUCAUCACAACUCUUUUCAUUCCGCGUCUCCCUUCCCCAUUGCAGAGUAGCAGGCCUAAUCAAGCUUGACCGGCUAGCCUCUCUGCGUUCUCGUAAAUAAAUUGUUUUUUUUCUUCUCUGUCUUGCUGUGGUUGCUUGCUUUGAACAUCUUGUAAAGUGUCGUAUCACGAGUAUAUUGCCAAGCCGUUGCAGAGUCUCGUCGUAAAAUCAAUCAAUCAGAACCUUGGAAAUCAACGCAUAUAUUCGUUGAGAAGAAAUAACACAAUGACAUAAACUCCCAACAAUAUACUGGUUGAUAUACGUUGAUGAUAUAACUGCAAUAAUUGCGAUAACAAGAACAUGAAUAGUAAGGCGCAGUGAAAUACUCGAAGAAAUAUCCGUAGAAGAUAUAUUAGCUUUUGCAGCGCAGUAGAGAAGGACGAAGACCAAAGAAUACGCACACGGGCGCUGUCUCCAUCCUUGUCUACGUCUCCUCUGUCUUUACAUGCCAUUGCUACUGCGCUGCAAAAGAUUAUGUAACAAAAAAAUUAACUCACCCAGAUAAGCUACUUCUUCAUAAAACAUUUGGCGGCAAUCCUAAUUUUGUACUUUCGAAGAACGUUUAGAAGUGAAUAACGGUCGAGGAACAAGGUUUGUAGAUAUAGGCAAUAUUUUGACAAGGAGACUUGUCUGUAUCAGACUAGAAGCUGCUCCAGGGCUGCUGCGGAGAUUGAGAAUAUAGGCAACGAGUUACAAUGCGAGUAGCGCUCAGCUUCGUUGUAGACGUGUCUUCCUAGCAUGGUCGGAGAGCUGUGCCUGCCUGCAUGAUGCUCUGUCACGCGAGAGCUUUGGGGUGUGUGAAUGUUAAAUGCCGUGAGGGAGUUCUCGGGAAGAACAGCCCCCCUGUUCUCCCGCUGCCCUCUCCUUCUGUGGCGUCGGCAGGAGAGGGCUCCGAUAUCGCUGCAGAACAACUGGUUAAUAGGUCUGUUCUGUAUGGAAUGAUGCAAGGAAUCAGUAAACGGCUCGUAAAUGUCCCCGAUUAAACAAAUAUACACGCUCAAGAGCAUCAUUCAUUUAAAAGAGGGAAAAUCAUUCUAUAAGCGUUCGGCUAUCGCUUACCAAUAUUGACAAUCAUCGGCAAAGGUAUUUGCACACUUUAUUAAGGCGAAAGCCUUAGGUGUCUAUAUGUUGGCGGUGACCUUUCAGUGAUCUUGGCGAAACUGCCGUGACCAGAAAUAGCCUUAGCCGCAAACAGUAAAAACACGUAUAAAAUGCUCGGAUCGACGUCACAUUUCUCAGGGAGGUUCCUGUAAACAAAGUAAAUUGGUCGCUUUGAAAAGAAAGUUCGGUAAAUUUCGGUCUGGCUGGGAAUCGAACCCGGGCAUUCGCGGUGCGAGACGAGCACGCUUCCCUAAAGCCACGGCUGCUCCACGGUUGUGGCUUACUAAAGGUGUGCCUACUGCGUGCCUGAUUGCGUACGUCACGUGAGUGAGUGAGUGAGUGAGUACGACUUUAUUAGGGUCCAGUGCAGACGCGGAGGUUGCCCCGCGCCACCCGGCUACUCCCACGUGGGGAGUCUAGCUUACCGGCCCUGUCGCGGGCGCGCUGGGCGGCCAGGAUUUGGUCUUGAAGGUUUGUGCUGUGCAAAAGCGCAUCCCACUCGGUCUUGCUAUAAGUCGGGCCGCGCGAACCACACUCCCAGAACAUAUGUGCUAACGUAGCGGUCUGCCCGCAAGCGGUGCCGGCGGCGUCAGGGAAUUUGUGUGGAUAGAUUUCAUUUAAUUAUGCUAAUGACGGAUACGAAUGGUUUUUGGAGUAAGCGCAGAGAGACUACCUGUGCUCUGUUUAUUUUUGAGUGUGGGGGCGGCAAAACCCUCUUAACCAUGUAGUAAUAUUUGGCAAUCUCGUUGUGUGUGGUUAGAGUAUCUUUAUGUCCUGUGUCGUCGUCGGCGAUGUGGUCGUCGCCCAUCUCUAGAGCAGCGCGGUCGGCGAGCGCGCGCGCUGCUGCGUGGGCCGACUGGUUGGGGUUCAGGGCGACGCCCUUUACCGAGCCCACUUGCGCGGGUAACCAGUAAAUGGUGUGAGGGACGAUCCCAUUUCUGGUGUUCAAGAUCCUGGCCGCUUGUAUUGAUAUGCGGCUCUUUUGAAAGGCUCUGACUGCCGCCCUUUGAGUCGCUGUACACCUCUCCACACCGACCAUCUAGCAGAGCGAGUGCAAUGGCCACUUGUUCGGCCACCUGGGGUUUGUUGUGCGUACUGUGGCGCAGUUCGUAGUCGAGCCAGUCUGGUCGACAACCACCACAGUGAACUUAUUGCCGUCUCGAUAUGCUGCAGCGUCGACGAAGCUUGCACUUGUACACUACCCAUUCCGAGUUGCUUGAGUACUGCCGUCGCUCUCACCCGACACCGUCCCUCGUUGUGCACGGGGUGAACGUUGCGCGGUAUGGGAGCAACGGUGACGUUUUCUUGUAC